rnacentral:tRNA from 2 species
GGUGAAAUUAGCUCAGUUGGUUAGAGCGUCGGAUUGUGGUUCCGAAGGUCGUGGGUUCGACCCCCACACUUCACCC